rnacentral:pre_miRNA from 1 species
CACCUGGGUGUUGUGUUAAAAUACUGAUUCCGUAGGGUUAGGGGAGGCCUGGGAUUCUGCAUUUCUGACAAGUUUCCAGGUGAUGC